UACGGAGGGGGCUAGCGUUGUUCGGAAUCACUGGGCGUAAAGGGCGCGCAGGCGGCUUAACAAGUUGGAAGUGAAAUCCUAUGGCUUAACCAUAGAACUGCUUUCAAAACUGUUAGGCUAGAGUAUGGUAGAGGAUGGUGGAAUUCCUAGUGUAGAGGUGAAAUUCGUAGAUAUUAGGAGGAACACCGGUGGCGAAAGCGACCAUCUGGGCCAUUACUGACGCUGAGGCGCGAAAGCGAGGGGAGCAAACAGG
rnacentral:rRNA from 1 species